rnacentral:rRNA from 1 species
UACGAAGGGGGCUAGCGUUGCUCGGAAUUACUGGGCGUAAAGCGCACGUAGGCGGCUUUCUAAGUCGGGGGUGAAAUCCUGGAGCUCAACUCCAGAACUGCCUUCGAUACUGGAGAGCUCGAGUCCGGGAGAGGUGAGUGGAACUGCGAGUGUAGAGGUGAAAUUCGUAGAUAUUCGCAAGAACACCAGUGGCGAAGGCGGCUACCUGGACAAAUACUGACGCUGGAGGCGCGAGAGCGUGGGGAGCAAACAGG